CCAAGAAACCAUCCUAAUCACACUCUAAAAUAUUUUGGGCCCUCCAAGCAACUCAGGCCCAGGCCCAGGCCCAUUUCACACCCCCCUCUGAAAACCCUAAUUGACUUCUCCCUCACCCUCUCCGUAUAAAUAGCCUCCAUCGGCCACUCUUCUGUCUAGGCGCUCGCGGAGCUUCUCCUUCGGCUUCAGCCUGCUGGUUCUGCGUUUUCAUGUCGAGUUGCUUUGGCAAUUCUUAAGAGAAAGAAAAAACUUGCGACAGCAGAAGACGACCAGUACCACUCGCCUGGAUCUGACCCAACUGAUUUUCCAGGCCCUUUUACUACUGGCACAUGUCUCUCGUUUCACGUCUUCCCAUUGCUCUUUGUUUUGCCCCACGAGGGAAGAAGUUUUGCUUUUUCGGUCGUUUGUGAAGCUCGUUCGGCGAUUCGGUUCAGGGGUUUUCUUUUUCCUUCUUCUGCAGAUCUGUUGGGUGUCAAAGUUUCGUGGUCCUUCUUCUUCUUCUUCUUCUUCUUCUUCUGCGUCUCUUUGGCGCGAAGCGAAAGUGGCUUGAAGAAGAAAAGCAAACGCACUCUGUCCCGAAACCAUCGGAAAGAUGAAUGUUUGGAGGCAAUUUCUUCGUUUGCGACAUCGUACUCCGACUUACUCGCCCAUAUGAUGUUUGGUUUGAGAUGAUCAUAUCGGGCACAUGGUCGGUGCACAUUUUCACUUUCCCCUGCGAUCGAAAUUCGCAUAAUGUGUGCGAAAAUGGAAGAAGAAGACAGUACAAAAUGAACGAAUUUCAGUGAGCCGAGACAACAUCGUUUUUGCAUUUUGACUGGGACGCUGAUGCAUAUUUGUUUUGCACUAUUAGGCUCCUUUUCGCUUGGAAAACGUUUUUGAUUUAAAUGAAUGAAUAAACAGAAAUUUACGAUUAA